rnacentral:rRNA from 1 species
UACGUAGGUCGCAAGCGUUGUCCGGAUUUACUGGGCGUAAAGAGCGCGCAGGCGGCUGGUCAAGUCCGAUGUGAAAUCCCCGGGCUUAACCUGGGAACUGCAUUGGUGACUGGCAGGCUUUGAGUGUGGCAGAGGGAGGUAGAAUUCCACGUGUAGCAGUGAAAUGCGUAGAGAUGUGGAGGAAUACCGAUGGCGAAGGCAGCCUCCUGGGCCAACACUGACGCUCAUGCACGAAAGCGUGGGGAGCAAACAGG